rnacentral:lncRNA from 1 species
AAUUCAACAAUUGCUAAUAAAUUAGGAGGAGGGGCAUAUUGAUGUACUGCUUGACUAUAACACAAAGAAGUGUAGUUAGCAAAAAGCUGCAGUGGGUAAUGAACAGUAUUUUAACUCGGCAGUUUAACCUCCGUGUCUGUCAGCUGUGACCUUUUACCAACCCCAAUGAGAGUCUGAUUUCUCACUUUUGCUACUCACUGCUGGAUGAGUGAAUGUAGAAUUUGACAGCGAGAGGUUUUACAUGAAAAGG